CAACACAGAAACUGUCUCUGUCUCUCGUUAUUAAGCUUACUAUUCAUAAAGAGCUGACACCCUGUCAUAAAAAAAAAAUCGACAGGAUGUUGUAUUUCACGCCUUUACGUAUCAUAAAAAUCCCCAUCACACGGACAAACACAAUGUCUGUAUUAUCAAUAAUGUAUAUAUAAGGCCCUCUUCCCACCUAACUGAAUGCAUGCACGGUGACUCCCCGAAACAUGUCACAAGCGUCUUCUGCUUCGGUCCUCACUAACGCUCACAUCCACGCCGCGGGUCAGAACGCAGGCCCCAACCUACAACAUGGGAUACGCUUCUUCGACCUCACAGGUGUGGAGCAGGAAAAUUUAGUUUUAACACCAUCGAUCUACGAUAAUGAAGGAGUCCUCAGAAGAACUUGAAGUAAAGCACACCUCCCUCAGUCCGGGUAAAGUUACAGAAAUCUGCUUUUUCUUUCGCCCGACGGCAGCAAAAGCGUUUUUUGCAAAAUUAAGGUUGGUUUGCUUUUCUACAUUAAAACGUUUUACAACAUUUUUUUUUUAAAAUGUGCAUUCUGUGUGUUUUAAAAGGGCAUUUCUACCACAAAAUCCAAGAAUGGAACCCUUCCCAUGAAUACUGCCUCCUCUACAACCCAAUUGACGCAAGCGGUCUAACCCAGACAGAAGGCUACAAAGAGAUAUGCAAUAAGGAAAAGCGUCCCUCUCCAGCACACUGUGACAAAGACAUUUAUGUGUGAAAUGUUUAUCUCCCCUUUAUUAUAACUUUUUCAUGCAUUGUUACCAUCAAGGCUCAGUAUAAAAUUAAGCAUUGUAAAAAUGAAAAAUGAUUGAACUUUUUGGUGCUUACUGCUGUUUCUUGUUCUUCAUUAAAUUUUGCACAAAUAUCCUAUUUCUCAAUAAACUAUACAUUAAAAGGGUGGCUCUUUUGGAAGUGGGUUUCUGUUAUUACAAGUUAAUCUCAGUCCUGCAGUAUUAACCAAAUACACUUUAUUUGUAAAGCACUUUUCAGUUCUGCCUCACAUAGGUUAAAAAAAUAACU